AUUGAACGCUGGCGGCAGGCUUAACACAUGCAAGUCGAGCGGAGCGAGGGUGCUUGCACCUUAGCUUAGCGGCGGACGGGUGAGUAAUGCUUAGGAAUCUGCCUAUUAGUGGGGGACAACAUUCCGAAAGGGAUGCUAAUACCGCAUACGCCCUACGGGGGAAAGCAGGGGAUCUUCGGACCUUGCGCUAAUAGAUGAGCCUAAGUCGGAUUAGCUAGUUGGUGGGGUAAAGGCCUACCAAGGCGACGAUCUGUAGCGGGUCUGAGAGGAUGAUCCGCCACACUGGGACUGAGACACGGCCCAGACUCCUACGGGAGGCAGCAGUGGGGAAUAUUGGACAAUGGGGGCAACCCUGAUCCAGCCAUGCCGCGUGAGUGAAGAAGGCCUUCGGGUUGUAAAGCUCUUUCGGCCGGGAAAAAAUCGCAUGGAUUAAUACUCUGUGUGGAUGAUGGUACCGGAAUAAGAAGCACCGGCUAACUACGUGCCAGCCGCCGCAGUAACAC
rnacentral:rRNA from 1 species